GACGGAGGAUGCAAGCGUUAUCCGGAAUGAUUGGGCGUAAAGCGUCCGCAGGUGGCAGUUCAAGUCUGCUGUCAAAGACCGAGGCUUAACUUCGGAAAGGCAGUGGAAACUGAACAGCUAGAGUAUGGUAGGGGCAGAGGGAAUUCCUGGUGUAGCGGUGAAAUGCGUAGAGAUCAGGAAGAACAUCGGUGGCGAAGGCGCUCUGCUGGACCAUAACUGACACUCAGGGACGAAAGCGUGGGGAGCAAACAGG
rnacentral:rRNA from 1 species